rnacentral:rRNA from 1 species
CACGUAGGGUGCGAGCGUUGUCCGGAAUUAUUGGGCGUAAAGAGCUCGUAGGCGGUGUGUCGCGUCGGCCGUGAAAACCUGCAGCUUGACUGUGGGCGUGCGGUCGAUACGGGCAUCACUGGAGUUCGGCAGGGGAGACUGGAAUUCCUGGUGUAGCGGUGAAAUGCGCAGAUAUCAGGAGGAACACCGGUGGCGAAGGCGGGUCUCUGGGCCGAUACUGACGCUGAGGAGCGAAAGCGUGGGGAGCAAACAGG